GAUGAACGCUGGCGGCGUGCCUAAUACAUGCAAGUCGAGCGAACGGACGAGAAGCUUGCUUCUCUGAUGUUAGCGGCGGACGGGUGAGUAACACGUGGAUAACCUACCUAUAAGACUGGGAUAACUUCGGGAAACCGGAGCUAAUACCGGAUAAUAUUUUGAACCGCAUGGUUCAAAAGUGAAAGACGGUCUUGCUGUCACUUAUAGAUGGAUCCGCGCUGUAUUAGCUAGUUGGUAAGGUAACGGCUUACCAAGGCAACGAUGCAUAGCCGACCUGAGAGGGUGAUCGGCCACACUGGAACUGAGACACGGUCCAGACUCCUACGGGAGGCAGCAGUAGGGAAUCUUCCGCAAUGGGCGAAAGCCUGACGGAGCAACGCCGCGUGAGUGAUGAAGGUCUUCGGAUCGUAAAACUCUGUUAUUAGGGAAGAGCAUAUGUGUAAGUAACUAUGCACAUCUUGACGGUACCUAAUCAGAAAGCCACGGCUAACUACGUG
rnacentral:rRNA from 1 species